rnacentral:lncRNA from 1 species
UGCGCCAACUUAGCGUUUUCCACCAACUCGGGGAGCAGAAACCUUCACAGGUUUUACAAUCUUUUGCUUAGGUGCUGCCUUUGUAGGAGCCUUAGCAGCCUGCUUAGCCUUUUUGGCUUCCUUGGCAGCCCUGAUAGCUUGUUCUUGUUGAGCCUGUCUAACUUCAGGUUUCUGAUUUCUCUUGGCCAUUAUAUCAGCAAGAGAUGCACCAGUGAUGGCUCUCUGGAAUUUGACUGCACGACGAGUUCUUUUCUUUUGAAUUUCUUCCGACUGCCCCUUUUUAUGUUUUCUUCUGUAGAGGACAGUCCAGUUUAUCUGCCGAGGAUUUCUCUUGGAAAGAAACGCAGACUCGCAUUUUGCGUUAAGAAAUUGGAAAACCUUCCCGUCGGUCCUGGCAUAGCGCCUCCCGUGUCCGGGAUAGAUCUUAUACCCGCUGAAACUGCACAGUUCGACCUUCAUGGCAGCUUGGAAAGAAACACAUAUGCAUGUACACUCACACAGACCACCCACAUGCUUCAGGGUAUUACGGCUGGCUGAUUAGAAGCUAGCUCUCCUAGAAUAAAUAUCUUGCCCCUCUCUCA